rnacentral:rRNA from 1 species
UCGGGAAUUUUGGGCAAUGGGCGAAAGCCUGACCCAGCAACGCCGCGUGAGGGAUGAAGUAUCUCGGUAUGUAAACCUCGAAAGAAUGGGAAGAAUAAAUGACGGUACCAUUUAUAAGCUCCGGCUAACUACGUGCCAGCAGCCGCGGUAAUACGUAGGGAGCAAGCGUUGUUCGGAUUUACUGGGCGUAAAGGGCGCGUAGGCGGCGCGGUAAGUCACUUGUGAAAUCUCUGAGCUUAACUCAGAACGGCCAAGUGAUACUGCUGUGCUAGAGUGCGGAAGAGGCAACCGGAAUUCUUGGUGUAGCGGUGAAAUGCGUAGAUAUCAAGAGGAACACCUGAGGCGAAGGCGGGUUGCUGGGCCGACACUGACGCUGAUGCGCGAAAGCCAGGGGAGCAAACG